AUUGAACGCUGGCGGCAUGCCUUACACAUGCAAGUCGAACGGCAGCACGGGUGCUUGCACCUGGUGGCGAGUGGCGAACGGGUGAGUAAUACAUCGGAACAUGUCCUGUAGUGGGGGAUAGCCCGGCGAAAGCCGGAUUAAUACCGCAUACGAUCUACGGAUGAAAGCGGGGGACCUUCUGGCCUCGCGCUAUAGGGUUGGCCGAUGGCUGAUUAGCUAGUUGGUGGGGUAAAGGCCUACCAAGGCGACGAUCAGUAGCUGGUCUGAGAGGACGACCAGCCACACUGGGACUGAGACACGGCCCAGACUCCUACGGGAGGCAGCAGUGGGGAAUUUUGGACAAUGGGCGAAAGCCUGAUCCAGCAAUGCCGCGUGUGUGAAGAAGGCCUUCGGGUUGUAAAGCACUUUUGUCCGGAAAGAAAUCCUUGGCCCUAAUACGGUCGGGGAUGACGGUACCGGAAGAAUAAGCACCGGCUAACUACGUG
rnacentral:rRNA from 1 species